CAGCAACGUCCACGCAUGCUUACCUCUUCAUUUUAGCGCCAAGGCCUGCUUUGCCUUGAGCGUUUAGUGGGUUUCCUGUGUUGCAUACCUAAUUGAUGGUAUUCUACAGAACAUCAUUGUUAUUUUUCGUCGUGCGUCGCUCAUGUGGCGUGAGACGAACCGUGUAGCGGUCUCUAUGCUCCAUCUUGUCAAUGUCCAUGCAUUGAUGACUUGGCCCUAUGAGCAUUGCUUGGUAUCUUGGAUACGGAACCUUAUGCGGGCAUGGGUCCUACGYGAUCCUUCUUUUGCCCUUCUUAAGCGUUCUCGCUUCUCCAAAACGACUGCCCGUCACGUGUUGGCAUGUCC
rnacentral:misc_RNA from 1 species